CAACUGUGUUGGGAGCGUUUCACCUGGUAGCUUGGAAGCUAGUUUGCUCCAACGCAACUGUGUUGUGAGCGUUUCACCUGGUAGCUUGGAAGGUAGUUUGCUCCAACGCAACUGUGUUGGGAGUGUUUCACCUGGUAGCAUGGAAGGUAGUUUGCUCCAACGCAACUGUGUUGUGAGUGUUUCACCUGGUAGCUUGGAAGGUAGUUUUCUCCAACGCAACUGUGUUGGUAGCGUUUCACCUGGUAGCUUGGAAGGUAGUUUUCUCCAACGCAACUGUGUUGGGAGCGUUUCACCUGGUAGCUAACCUGUGUGUUGUAUUUAUUCAUAUUACUUAAUUGUCUAGCAUCUGCAUUAGCUAGCUAUAGCUGCUGUAUACGGGGAAUGGGUUAGCCUAGUGAUUUGUUAGUACUUGCACUUGGUCCUAUGAACAUCAACACCGGCAAAUUCAGACUUGUAGUAGCCUACUGCAAAUUUAAAAUGUUGACAAAUUUUACGUUUCAAUAUUUUGUCAAAUUUCACAAAGUCCAUUCCAAGAUAUUUACGAACAUCAGCAAUGGAGGCAAGUAAGGUUUAUCACUUUCUAUGGCAAUUUACUCUAUAAAAACAUAUGGUUCUCACUGUACCAUAAUCAUCAUGCUAGAUAUGCCUCAUGCUGUCCUUCAUAUUACUUAUUUGCAAGGAAUUUAAGCAUUGACAAUUAUUUAUGAACGUUGAACCAUGAAAGAAAUGUCUUCAAUUAUUUUUGUUCAGGGGUAGGGUUGGCCCCUGUACAUUUAAUUUCAAGAUCAGUGUUCGACAGUGUUUGUCAAAUUCAGGACUGGCGCUGGAAGCUGUAGGUGGAGGGAAGACCAGGAGUGGUGCAGCUCUGUAGAUGCUGAAGGUGUGCCAAUGGGUCACGUGUGUUCCUGAAGGGUCUGAGGCGACCCAGUUGGAGGUCCCUGCGGUGGCGGUCAGCCGGAGGUGUCAAGACCAACCAGCUCCUCGUCCAGGAAAGGUGAAUUCAUCAGACCGAUUAAAGAGUACGAUGACCGAACAGUUGAUCUACAACAGUGGCCUACUCCCCAUCCACCCUGAGGAUCCCUGGCUACACCUACAAUCCAAUCUACCCCAGACAUAACCACUUGGAGCUCAACAACUUCUACAACUCCCCCUACCUCCUACACACCAUACUGUUACCACUUUACCAUUUUAACUUUAAAACAAAGUACUGUAAUUCACACCAUGUUGUAGGAAAAGCAUGUUUACUUGAAUGAUUUAUGCAUUUUAUUUCUGUGACCCCAACUAUUGUAUUUCUGACCCAGUUACCUCUGAACCCUCUUUCUAAGGGAGCGACUAAAGGGACAAAGCUGGAGCUAACCUGAGCUUAACAAUCUUUCUAAUCUUUCUUUCAAAUGCCCUAAAUUGAAUCACAUAAAAUGCCUAAAGUAACUUGUCUAACAAAACAAAAAGCCAACCUAAUACCCAAACUUAACCAUCUAACUAUAGAUCUCAAAUGCCUAAACUCUCUUACUCUAAACGAGUACCUAAACUGAACCAUUUAACUAAACAUCUCAAAGGCCUAAACUCGCUUACCUCAACCUAACCUAAUACCCAAACUUAACCAUCUAUAACUGAAGAGCUCAAACGCCUAAACUCUUACCAUAACCUAGUACCUAAACUGAACCAUCUAACUAAACAUCUUAAAGGCCUAAACUCGCUUACCUCAACCUAACCUAAUACCCAAACUUGACCCUCUAACUAAACAUCUCUAAUGCCUAAACUCUUUCCUAAUACCUAAACAAUCUUUAAUACAAUCACUAAUGCCUAAACUUAACCAAACACCAAUAAUAAAAGUUAACCAUCCUUAAUCUUAAACCCAAACCAGACUUGUCCCUGGGUCGCUCCACUUUGUUUCUUUAAAGGCAUCUCUUUUCCCCCGCAUCUGUGUUUUAUUCCUUGAGGACUUCAAGUACUUCAGAUGAUGUUUGAAAACUUGUUUCAUUAAUAAAGAUACUUCAUCUUUACAGAUUUUGUUUUGGGGAAUUGGGACUGCUGAGCAGCUUAAGCAUCCUUACUGGUGAAACUGAUCUGACAAUAUCAAUUUUAGUACUAUGAAGCCAAUAACAUGAGGCUGAAUAUGUGAAAAGACGAGGUGGACAAUGAUCGAGGAGUCAACAAGGAGUUGAUUGGUAAACAUCUAACGUGGAACCAAUGCUUAUUUGUUUGAUCUGUUACCAGGCUAUCGCAGUAGGGGAAUCUGGAGGAGUACCCAACAGUGUUGCAUGGGUUCUUGAUAGAUUGCAUUACGGCUGAGGCCAUUCAUUAAGAUUGUUGAUUUGAUGAAUAUGAAUAAAGAG
ensembl:lncRNA